rnacentral:lncRNA from 13 species
AUGUUGACUUACAGUAAUGAAUGGAGACCCCAGCACCCAGCAUGGCCACAGCACGAUGCUAAGGAGAAGCAAAGAGCAAGCCAGCUCUGGAUGUCUCCUGGAGUCAAGCGAAGCUUGGGUCCUGGCUGCUCAAAGUGCACCCCCAGACCAGCGACAUCAGUGUCACCUGGGAGCUUGCAAGACUCCUAUGCCUGCCCCGACUCACUGGAUCAGGAUCUGCAGCUCUACAGAUCUACAGGGACACAGAAAGGACAAGCGUGGUGGAUGCUGCUCCUCGCCCUGCAACGAUGCUGCCGCUGGGGAAGCGGGUGUUUCUUCCUGAGCGAGCCAUCUUGUCCCGGGCAGAGGUGUGAAUAACCCCUCUGACUCUCUGCACCGAGAUUUAGGGGAAGGAUCAGUGGACAGCUCAGGAAGUGCCGCUCUCAAACCUGCUGGGCAGCCGGCUCCGUGUGGCUUAAGAAGAGGUGCACAUGGAGGUUGCAGUUGUGUGAAAGUAAGAGGACUCUCAUAGUGACCUAAAGUCACCUGCCAGGUCACCUGCCAAGUCCAGAUCCUCUAAGGAACAAGGGCUAUGGCUUGGAUAUUUGUCCCCUCCAAGCUUCAUGUUGAAAUUUGGUCUCCCAGCCCGGGCACGGUGGUUCACGCCUGCGAUCCCAGAAUUUUGGAGAGGCCAAAGUGAGUGGAUCGCUUGAGCCCAGGAGUUCAAGACCAGCCUGGGCAGCAUAGCAAGACACCCCCGACUACAAAAAAACUACAGAAAUUAGCCAGGCAUGGUGGCAUGCACCUGUAGUUCCAGCUACUAGGGAGGCUGAGCCUCAGGGAGGAUCACCUGAGCCUGGGAGGUUGAGGCUGCAGUGGAAAGUUAAAUUCGAUUUAAAAAAUGUGGUCUCAGUGUUGGAGGUGGAGCCUAAUGGGAAGCAUUUGGGUAAGGAGGGGAGAUCCCUCAUGAAUGGACUAAUGCCUUCCCUGAGGGUGAGUGGGUUCUCACUCAUUAGUUCCCAAGAAAGCUGAUUGCUGGAAAGGACCUGGCACUUCCCCUCCUUCCCGCUGGGUCCUCCUUGCCCUGUGGUCUCUGCACACCCAGCUCCACUUUGCCCUCCCCCAUGAGUGGAAGCAGCCUGAGGCCUUCCCCAGAUGCAGAUGCCCAACCAUGGACUUUUCCAGCCAACUGGAAUCAUGAACCAAAUAAACCAUACAUGUAUACAUACA